rnacentral:lncRNA from 1 species
AUAAAGUAUUAUUUAUUGUAAGGUCGUGACGGGGAGCAUCAAUAUUGGGUUAAGAGCAACACACAAGUGCGAAAGACACCACACAUUAACCGAAAACCUUAAGUUGAUAGGUGUGACCACUUAUAAAUUCUUAAACCUCCACAUUUAUAAACAAUGUGAAACUCCAACUCACACUUGACUUAUUAUUUUUAACAUUUAUCAUGUAUUGAGAAUGAUGAAAGUAAUCCUAAUGAAAAGAUACAAUUAAAAAAU